rnacentral:snoRNA from 1 species
AAUCCAUGUUGAGGACAUCUUCUAAGAAGGUCUUUGAAUCUUUCCCAAGCUUCAUAAAAUUUUCAAAGUCAAGUUGUCGAAAUUGAUCAAUUUCACUUCGAAGUU